CCUACGGGAGGCAGCAGUGAGGAAUAUUGGUCAAUGGACGAGAGUCUGAACCAGCCAAGUAGCGUGAAGGAUGACUGCCCUAUGGGUUGUAAACUUCUUUUAUAUGGGAAUAAAAUGUUCCACGUGUGGGAUUUUGUAUGUACCAUAUGAAUAAGGAUCGGCUAACUCCGUGCCAGCAGCCGCGGUAAUACGGAGGAUCCGAGCGUUAUCCGGAUUUAUUGGGUUUAAAGGGAGCGUAGGUGGAUUGUUAAGUCAGUUGUGAAAGUUUGCGGCUCAACCGUAAAAUUGCAGUUGAAACUGGCAGUCAUGAGUACAGUAGAGGUGGGCGGAAUUCGUGGUGUAGCGGUGAAAGGAUUAGAUAUCACGAAGAAUUCGGAUUGAGAAGGCAGUGCACUGGACUGCAACUGACACUGAGGCUCGAAAGUGUGGGGAGCAAACAGGAGGAGAUAACCCUGUAGUC
rnacentral:rRNA from 1 species